UGGCAGAGAUCUACAUGGCAUGAC
rnacentral:siRNA from 1 species